GUGAGAGAGGGGGUGACUAGUGACAGAGUGAGGAAGGGGGUGACAUAGUGAGGGAGGGGGUGACUAGUGACAUAGUGAGAGAGGGGGUGACUAGUGACAGAGAGAGGGAUGGGGUGACUAGUGACAGUCACCCCCUCUCUCACUCUGUCACUAGUCACACCCUCUCUCACUCUGUCACCAGUCAUCCCUUCCUUCCCUCACUCUGCCACUAGUCAUCCCUUCCCUCACUCUGUCACCAGUCACCCCUUCCUUCCUUCAC